UACGGGGGGGGCAAGCGUUGUUCGGAAUUACUGGGCGUAAAGGGCUCGUAGGCGGCCAACUAAGUCAGACGUGAAAUCCCUCGGCUUAACCGGGGAACUGCGUCUGAUACUGGAUGGCUUGAAUCCGGGAGAGGGAUGCGGAAUUCCAGGUGUAGCGGUGAAAUGCGUAGAUAUCUGGAGGAACACCGGUGGCGAAGGCGGCAUCCUGGACCGGUAUUGACGCUGAUGCGCGAAAGCCAGGGGAGCAAACGGG
rnacentral:rRNA from 1 species